UGCCCAAGAGAUCGGGAUAACACCUGGAAACAGAUGCUAAUACCGGAUAACAACAGAUGAUGCCUAUCAACUGUUUAAAAGAUGGUUCUGCUAUCACUCUUGGAUGGACCUGCGGUGCAUUAGCUAGUUGGUAGGGUAACGGCCUACCAAGGCGAUGAUGCAUAGCCGAGUUGAGAGACUGAUCGGCAACAUUGGGACUGAGACACGGCCCAAACUCCUACGGGAGGCAGCAGCC
rnacentral:rRNA from 1 species